UACGUAGGUGGCAAGCGUUGUCCGGAAUUAUUGGGCGUAAAGGGCGCGUAGGCGGUACCCUAAGUCAGAUGUGAAAACCCGGGGCUUAACUCCGGAGGUGCAUUUGAAACUGGGGAACUUGAGUGCAGGAGAGGUAAGUGGAAUUCCUAGUGUAGCGGUGAAAUGCGUAGAUAUUAGGAGGAACACCAGUGGCGAAGGCGACUUACUGGACUGUAACUGACGCUGAGGCGCGAAAGCGUGGGGAGCAAACAGG
rnacentral:rRNA from 1 species